GUUGGAAGAUCCGGGAUCUUUCA
rnacentral:snRNA from 1 species